rnacentral:rRNA from 1 species
GGACUACUGGGGUAUCUAAUCCUGUUUGCUACCCACGCUUUCGUGUUUCAGCGUCAGUUGCGGUCCAGAGAGCCGUCUACACCACCGGUAUUCCUCCUGAUAUCUACGCAUUUCACCGCUACACCAGGAAUUCUACUCUCCCAUCCCGCACUCUAGCCCUCCAGUUUUCGGCGCACCCUCCCGGUUGAGCCGGGAGAUUUCACACCAAACUUAGAGAGCCGCCUACACACCCUUUACGCCCAGUAACUCCGAACAACGCUUGCUGCCUACGUAUUACCGCGGCGGCUGGCAC